UACGAAGGGGGCUAGCGUUGCUCGGAAUCACUGGGCGUAAAGCGCACGUAGGCGGCUUUCUAAGUCAGGGGUGAAAUCCUGGAAGCUCAACUGCCAGAACUACGCCUUUGAUACUGGAGUGACUUGAGUCCGGGAGAGGUGAGUGGAACUCCGAGUGUAAGAGGUAGUCAAAUUCGUAGAGUAUUACGGAAGAACACCAGUGGCGAAGGGCGGCAUCACUGGCC
rnacentral:rRNA from 1 species